rnacentral:lncRNA from 1 species
AAAAAAACUUGACCCCAGAGUAUGUCAGAUCCGCCACAAAUACAGGAGAUCCACUGUUCACACGGACAGAGUCUCCCCUGUAUUUGCACGGCGUCGCACAAGUACAAGAGUACAACCAGGAUACAACCACCACUAGAUGAAUAUAAAGAUAACUAUACAUUCAUACAUUCACCAUUCACAUCACAGUUUUACAUUCAAUGUUUAAACAGAAAUCCACGAAAAAUUCUUUUGAAAACUGUUUCCUACACGGAAACUUUCAUUCGUUAAAAACGCUACCACGAGGGGUAGAAAAUCUUUUAUUUUACAAAAUCCAGAAAUCCACAUUUUCAAAUGUAAAUAAACACUGAACCACAUAAACCAACUAAACUAUUCAUCAACCAAAAUAAGAAGGGUAAGAAAGUAAACCGAAUUAACCUGGGCCGAAAGCUCUAUCGACCGCUACACGCGUACCUCACGUCUCGUCCCACUACUCAUCGCCCGUGAUACCUGAAAAAUGGUGGGGGAGGUGAGAACAUGUAAACAUGUCUCCCCUCCCAGUGGGUACCGCAAGCCGAAGAAGGCGAGGAGUACUCACCGGAUCAGGAAGAACUAUACAACAACACGAGUCAGUGGGAAUACAGUAGGAACAAUAAUAUAUGAACAGAAUGUAUAAGAACGACUACCGCUACUGUAAAGAAGAAUAUAAAACAUACCUGGGUAUCAAACUAUAGUAGUAAAACUAGUAUAUAGAAAGAACUGUAAGUAUGCAUGCAACAACAGCUACUAUAGACAUAUGCGUCAACCGGACAAGAAGUCCAAAAUACCCAAUCUAAACCGCCGUGUCGGUCUAAGGACCUCAGGCAAAAGCCCACUAACACUCUACCUGCAUGUAACCCAGUCCUGACCGCUGGGCUCACGGGUUGGCACAAGCAACCACUUUUCGGAAAAAGAACACCCCUUGCGGUGGAUCAGACCGCCGGUGUUCGUGAAAUGCGAACGAGUCGGGCAAUCAAUGCUGAUAUGCUCAAAGGCUAACCGUCGGCAACCAGCCGACAAUCCUGCCCACAGGGCUCACCGACCGUAUAGGUCAUCGACUGUAAAGAAGCACAAGAACCGACCACUCAGGUCAACUAGGAUGGAACGACUCUACAUCCUCUCAACUGUAUGCAAGUACUGACUAAUCAAGUCAACUGGGAUGGAACAACUCAACAUCCUACCAAAAGUAUGUAGAUACUGAUCAAUAGGUCAACUACUGUAUAUAUGCAAGAAUCGAUCAACAAGUCAUCUGAGUAUAUAAUCUAGAACUACCGUCAGCCAUAGCCGACAAUCCUACCCCUCAGGGUACACCGAUCUCAAAGGUCAUCAAACGACAGAAGUUAAGGAACCGAUCGACCAGGUCACCGAUCUCACAAGAAAUCACGAAACCGCUCUACUCUAAACAUGAAACUGGAUAUGCAGAAUAGCUAAGUAGAGCAACAAAGAAACAUGGUGUAGCUACUCUACCCAUACUCAUGAUACUAAAUAUAAAGAGAACAACCGAGUAGAGAGUAACCGAAACAACAUGGUGCUAGGCUCAACACUAUAUAUCAAGAUGUAUAUAUGCUAGAUAAUAAUGAAAGAGCAAAGGUAAGAAACCAUCACCGAGCGUGCACCACUGUACCGACGUCGGAUCGAAGUACCCACCUGUACAA